UACGUAGGUGGCAAGCGUUGUUCGGAAUUACUGGGCGUAAAGCGCGCGUAGGCGGCUCUUCAAGUCAGGCGUGAAAGCCCCGGGCUUAACUCGGGAACUGCGCUUGAUACUGUCGAGCUAGAGUGUGGAAGGGGCGAUUGGAAUUCCGUGUGUAGCGGUGAAAUGCGUAGAUAUCAAGAGGAACACCUGAGGUGAAGACGGGUUGCUGGGCCGACACUGACGCUGAUGCGCGAAAGCCAGGGGAGCAAACGGG
rnacentral:rRNA from 1 species